rnacentral:rRNA from 1 species
GGCUCAGAACGAACGCUGGCGGCGUGGAUUAGGCAUGCAAGUCGAACGCGAAAGAGGGGGCAACUCCUCGAGUAGAGUGGCGAACGGGUGAGUAACGCGUGAAGAACCUGCCUUCAACAGGGGGAUAACACUCCCAACGGGGUGCUAAUACCGCAUGAGACCACGGAGCUGCAUGGCUCUGAGGUCAAAGGUGGCCUCUAUUUAUAAGCUACCGGUUGAAGAUGGCUUCGCGUCCCAUUAGCUAGUUGGCGGUGUAAAAGACCACCAAGGCGACGAUGGGUAGCUGGUCUGAGAGGAUGGUCAGCCACACUGGGACUGAGAUACGGCCCAGACUCCUACGGGAGGCAGCAGUCGAGAGGCUUCGGCAAUGGGGGAAACCCUGACCGAGCGACGCCGCGUGGAGGAUGAAGGCCCUUGGGUUGUAAACUCCUUUUGUUCGGGAAGAAAUGCGAUCAGGUGAACAAUCUGGUCGUUUGACGGUACCGGACGAAUAAGCUCCGGCUAACUCCGUGCCAGCAGCCGCGGUAACACGGGGGGAGCAAGCGUUGUUCGGAAUCACUGGGCGUAAAGGGCGUGUAGGCGGUCAGGUAAGUGGGAUGUGAAAUGCCCCGGCUCACCCGGGGAUCUGCAUUCCAAACUGCUUGGCUUGAGUAUGGGAGAGGAUGAGGGAAUUCCUGGUGUAGCGGUGAAAUGCGUAGAUAUCAGGAGGAACACCGGUGGCGAAGGCGCUCGUCUGGCCCAAUACUGACGCUGAUGCGCGAAAGCUAGGGGAGCAAACGGGAUUAGAUACCCCGGUAGUCCUAGCCGUAAACGGUGAGCACUAGGUGUUGGAGGCAUCGACCCCUCCAGUGCCGCAGCUAACGCAUUAAGUGCUCCGCCUGGGGAGUACGGCCG